rnacentral:lncRNA from 1 species
GGCCAGGAUGUCAACAAGCAUAUGACACCUCACAGAAUCCAAGAGCGUAACGUCUUCUCCCUCCAGUUCCUCACAAAGCUCAGGUUUGCAGUGUAGUAGGUGAGAGGUCAAAAGACUAGCAGCGGCUGGGUGUGGUAGUGUACACCUUUAAUCCUAGUACUCCUGAGACCCAGACAGGAGGGCAAAUGUGAGUUAGGGGCCAGAUUAUCUACAUAGAGAGUUCUAGACCAGUCAGGGCUACAUAGUGAAAUCCUGUUAAAGUUAGAUCUAUGAAAUUUUAAAAUGUAAUAUUUUGCUUUCUAUCAAAUUUC